rnacentral:snRNA from 1 species
AUCUUAAAUCCGUAAUUUUUAAU